rnacentral:rRNA from 1 species
CCCCACGACUCGGCCGCGUCGACUCUGAUGUGAAAGACCCCCGGCUCAACCCGGGGAGGGUCGAUUGGAAACUGUUUACUUGAGUACAGAAGAGGAGAGUGGAAUUCCAUGUGUAGCGGUGAAAUGCGCAGAGAUAUGGAGGAACACCAGUGGCGAAGGCGGCUCUCUGGUCUGUUACUGACGCUGAGGCGCGAAAGCGUGGGGAGCAACAGGAUUAGAUACCCUGGUAGUCCACGCCGUAAACGAUGGAUACUAGGUGUGGGGGGUCUGACCCCCUCCGUGCCGCAGUUAACACAAUAAGUAUCCCACCUGGGGAGUACGAUCGCAAGGUUGAAACUCAAAGGAAUUGACGGGGGCCCGCACAAGCGGUGGAGUAUGUGGUUUAAUUCGAAGCAACGCGAAGAACCUUACCAGGGCUUGACAUCCCGGUGACCGCUCUAGAGAUAGAGUUUCCCUUCGGGGCACCGGUGACAGGUGGUGCAUGGUUGUCGUCAGCUCGUGUCGUGAGAUGUUGGGUUAAGUCCCGCAACGAGCGCAACCCUUAUUGUUAGUUGC